GCAAAAAAAUAUUUGUGCCGCUACAGCAUUCAACACACGACACAAAUUGUUGUUGAUGUGGACACAACUUUUACGACAUAAAAUAAAGCACCGUGCAUAUACGUCGAAUUGAGCAAAAGUUUUUGCACAGUUAAUGCUCCCGUAUAUUUACGGCAGUAGACUGCAUUAUUGCACAUGAUUUUAAUUAUUCAUAGUUGCAUACUUAUUAAUAAGUGCUAAAGAUAACAUUUUUGUUCAGUAACAUGUACAAUUACAUUAAUUAAAUUUUGCUGGUUAGCAAACUUCGCACAUUAUUUCCGAAAUACACAGACCAACAAAACUAAAUAACUUGUACAAAAUAAACAUUUAUUUAGAUUCCUACAGCAGCUGGUUACUAAUAAUAUACAACUUUUGCAUAUUGCAUACAUUAAAUGUGCAAACAUUUAUCCUCGAUAAAAAAAAUUACACGGUCUUUUUUAGAAAAAAUGUCAGCGGCGAUUAAUUGGCCUACGUACUACAUAACAAUCAACUAUAUACAUAUGUAUUAAAAUCUCAAUUGUAUCACAUCAUUCAUUCAAAUAGGUACCUUAAACUAACUUGCAAUAAGGGUCACUUUCAAGUUUGUGACAUAUUUGGUUUUGAACACUAACCACGAUAAUCGAAACGUAUCAAGGAACGAAAAAAUAUGCAUGUAUUUACAAAUUUCAAAAAUAAUUUAAUACAUAUAUUGUUGAUAGAAUAAAAAAAAAUUAAAGUGUUAUUAAUUCAUUGAAGAUUUUUUUAAAACGUGCAGACAAAAAAAUUGUAAAAUAAUUAUUUAUGGGUAGUAAUGCAGCAUGGGGUAGCCACAAAGAUAUUUUCAUUAAAAAAAAUGUAACACUGCACCUCGGUUUUUUCUAAAUAGCAUCAAAAUCAGUUCAGCUAUUUAUCAAUGUCUUUUUCAAUUGAUUGAAGCUACUUAUGUACAGCAUUUUUACCGACAAAUAAAUCAUUUGUAGUUUCAACAAAUUUCAUUUCCAUAGAGUCACCAUUUAUAUUAUUUUUGGGAGGUAGUUAGCAUAAAAAAUAUAUUUUAUUUUUAAUAAUGCGUAAGAGAUCACGUAAUCACAGUAUGAAAAUUGAACAUAGUAGCUACAUUCGAUCAUAGACUCAUUAAAAUAAUAAAGACAAAAUGAAAGAAAGCAUUUAGAAGCGUCUUUACCAUGACUCACUAAAUGAGUAAAAGGUGAGGAAGUUGGGAAGAGCGUCUAACGUCAUCAAUUAGCAAAAAAAAAAUUUUUAGGACACAAACACCAAACAUAAUUUUUAUGAAAAAAUAUGUAAAUAUAAAUAGCAGUCUAUGCUGAUGCGUCACUCUUUGAUGGGUAAUAAUAUUAGAUGGUAUGAAUGGCGUUGUUGUAUCGUUGUUGUACAUUAUGUGAAAGUUAGUAAAAAUAAGUUAUACUGUUUAACACGGUUUGAUUUGUAACGAAAACGUUAAACUAUUUAAGAUGGUUUCGUCUCCAUUAAGUAAUAUGAACCAACAUUUCCUAUUAACACGAUUGAUAGAUAACGUUUUUGAGCUUUAAAUUUACCUUGUAUGUAGCUAAAACAUACAAAAAUGGCGGUUAAAAUUUUUUCUUGUACAGAUUCCAUUUAAUUUAAAGGUAUUUGCAAAUAUCUACAAUUUAUAAAAUGCCAUCAUAGGUCCUAUUCCCUUUUUAAGUAAAUAUUUGUACCGAAUAAGCUACAAUGUAAAACUUUUAUACUGUAACAUACGUCCAAGUAAUUCACGUAAAAUUCAAGUACCACCAUUCAGACGACUAUGCGAACUAAUUUUUUUUUAAUGAUUAUUUAAUAAAUUAUCUUUAGAUAUCUUAAUACUAUAAAUUGCUUUAUUGUACUCAUUUGUCUAAGGUAACAACUAAAAUUACGGCUAACUAAACUAUCACGGCCUAUGGGAUAAUGUUUUAGUUUUAAUUAAAGAGAUUUAUACAUCCAUCUCUUUCUAUUAAGAGUGAUUUGGUAUGUAAUUAAUAUAGCUAAUUACAGAGCACACAUUCCAUCUAUGAAAUUAUUUUAAAUACUAUAAACAGUACAGAAACAUUAUUUAUUUAUGCCUAAUUUUGCAUCAGAGGUUUGUCAUAUUAAUCAAGCAAGCUUUAACGCAUGGCGAAAAAGGCGUGUCAGAUGCUACUAGAAUGCCAUAUAAUCGCAGCUUUUUAACUAUUGUAUUCGUUCACAAAAUUUUGUUUGCAUGACUGUAAAGCACUUUCCUGAAAGGCACAUGAAAGUCGUCACGUGUAAAGGCACAUUGAUGACCAUUGAUAUAUCUCCAAAAUUCACUUCAAUAUAAUAUGAGACAAAAAACCAAGAAAUUGACUGACUCACAAUCCACUGAUACAAAAUUAGCAACGAUCGCUAAGAGAUUGAUGUUUGGACAACCGCUACUUAACUACUUGUAGAUCAUGAACAAGUACAUGAAUAAUAAUAUAAUUAUUAAUAUGAUCUUACAUUGUGCAAAUACAUAUAAAAAUGGAUUCCCGUCCAGAAUGUACAAACCAAAACUACCCUGGACUCUAUUCCAAACUUUCCAUUAAAAACGCUCAUAAACGGGCUACUUUACGGCAAUUUUUAGAUGUGGAUAAUACAGCAACUUUUUUUGUUUCUCCUAUAUUUUCUGCAACACUUACAAGAUUCAAUUUGUAGCCCGUUUACGAACCACAAGAUCUGCUUUUUCAAAUUUCUUAAAAAAUAAAUAGACGCCACAAUAUCAAAUGCAGUUUAUGCUCAUUAAUAUUUAGAAUUCCAAUCUCUAGCAAUCAUUAAAUAGACUGUAAUUAAUCUAGCGUUACAACAUUAUUUUAAUAUGAUAAGUUUAAAUUAAAUUGAAACAAGAAACGCGCGAACGAAGGCGAAGCGAGCAAGAGCUCGUUGAUGAUCGGCGAAUGACAGUAAGUGUGACACCGUAUGACGGUGCCUUUAUUAAAAACUAGGUGAUACCCGCGACUUCAUCAGUUGAUUUAAGUUUUCCUUUUUAAUCCAAAAUAAAAAGUAUUCCAUGUUCCUUUCUAAAAUGUAAGCUAUCAGUGUGCCAAACCUCAAGAUUAGUUCAAUGGUUUCAAGCCAUGAAAAGGUAGGUAGGUACUCGAGAGACAAACACAUUUAAAUUAAUACAAGUUUAUGCCUGCGACUUCGCACGCGUGGUUUUAGGUUUUUAAAAAUCCUGAGGGAACUCUUUGAUUUUCUGGGAUAAAAAGUAGCCCUUGUCAAAAAAUACGUCGAUCCGUUGCUCCGUUGUGACGUGAUUGAGGGACAAACCAAUAAACAAACACACUGUUGCAUUUAAAAUAUCAUCAGUGGUGGGUGGUAAUUGUAUGUACUUCUGCUGCUUAUAAACCCUUAAUGUGGAUAUAAAAUUGCAUAAAUUAUAAUCGCUAGAUUAAUUAAGUCGAAACACGUACCUAGCUACUAAUUGAUCGAUCAAUGACCGUAAUUUCAGCACCACUCUCUUAACUUUUUUACUUAGAUCUGUUACAAAAUUCAUUGUGAGUUAUAGCAAGCAUAUUUUAAAAAAAUGUACCUAAUCUUUGUCAAGCUUCGUAAAAAAUAUACAGAGUUAAAAGGAAUAAAACUAACGAACCAAACAAACGUAAAAUAUCACGUUUUGAAUAGUGUUUAACUUUUUACGUCAUUUUUCGUAAAAAAAAUUAAAAUUGCGCUAAUUGUUUUAAUUUCGGCCGUUUAAUUUAAGUAUUUGGCCACCUUUAUUGUCAUUCGCGAAAAGAUGUUAAGUUUAAAAAAAUAUAAUUGCAAUUAAUCACAUAUCUUUUGGAAAAUAUAUCACAGAUGGAACCGCCAAGCGGGUCACUUCUAAAAAUCGCGCCAAACUUUAUGAACAAUCUGAAAUUUUAACUAAUUUAUAGUGCAAUGAACAGUCGUGCAAUAUGCAGCUUUAUUCAGACCGAUCAUAAUGAGUGGUGUGACUUAAUCAUUAUGA